rnacentral:tRNA from 1 species
GCCACUGUGGCGGAAUUGGUAGACGCACUGGAUUCAAAAUCCAGCGGGAAACCAUGUGGGUUCGAGUCCCACCAGUGGUACCA